UAAAUACUCCCUCCGUCCGAAAAUACUUGUCAUAAGAAUAGAUGUUUCUGGAUGUAUUUUAGUUCUAGAUACAUUCUUUUUAUCCAUUUGUGCGAUAAAUAAUUCCAUACGAAGGGAGUAUUUA
rfam:Hordeum vulgare subsp. vulgare, WGS project CAJW01000000 data, contig: morex_contig_281055